AGUCGCUGUGUGUGUGUUAAUCCAUGUGUGUGUAUCUAAAGUAGAUGUCUGUGUGACACAGUUCAUAUGUAUAUGUGUGUGUAGGGCAAUGUGUGUGUCAGUCUAUGUGUGUGUGUGUAAGUCCAUGUGUGUGUGUCUUAGUUGAUAUGUGUGUGUGUAAGUACAUAUGUAUGUUUACGUCAAUCUGUUCUUGAGUCCACGUAUAUCUGUGUGUGAGUCGAUGUGUGUGUUUGUGUCGCUGUAUGUGUCUACGUCCAUAGAUGUGUGUAACUCCAUGUGUGUGUAUCUAAAGUGGAUGUCUAUGCGUGUGUGAGUCCAUAUGUGUGUGUGUGCAAGUCCAUGUGUUUGUGUGUGCAAGUCGAUAUGUCUGUGUGUGUCAGUCCAUGGACAUGUGUGUUAGUCGUUUGUGUCCGUGGCUCCAUGUGAGUCCGUGUAAGUCCAUUUCUUCGCGUGUCUGUAGGUCCAUGUGUGCGUGUGAGUGAAUGUGUGUGCUUUAUUGACCUGGUCAAGGCCUAUGAUACCAUCAGUAGGCCUGGCCUCUGGGUUGUUCUUCAUACUUUCGGAGUCCCUCAGCCUUUGCUCAAGAUCUUUAAGGACCUUCAUGAUGAUGGCCAAGGCUGAAGAGAAGGUGGGCUCCAGGAGCGGCGUGCAAUGGAGUGCGCUGCCCACAUCGGACAGCAUUGCCAUCGCCAGUAGUAAAACCCCACGAGGUGAUAGAUAUGAUUAGAGAAGUCAUGGUGGGGGACGUCAUGGUGGCCAUAGUUGAAAACAAAAACAAGCAUGUGAAUGGUUAUGGAAUAAAAAUGUUGUGAGGCAGAGUGGCACAGCAGGAACACUCCUCGUGCAUUUCUCUUUGGAGUCGGGAUGAUCUCCCCCUGCUCUGCAUGGGAUUCCUCCAGGCUCUCCAGUUUCCUCCACACAGCGAAAGAAAAUUAUUAACACAUCCCAAUGCUAAAAAAUAGUGUUGGUGAUUAUAUGCAGUCCAGGCACUCAGUGGAGCUUUCUUGGGUAAACAAGCAUCGUAUAUUUUAUUAUCAUUUCAGCAGGAAUGGCCAAAUAAGCAGCCAGGUUAUGUUUCAUGGGUGUCCUGCGAUCGUUUGGAUGUUAAACAAGUCUUCAUGUCAAAAGCGCGGUUACAUAGGUGGUGAUACCAAAUUUGUCAUUAGUCUGUUCUUCACAUGUUACAGGAAUACGGAAUUGGUUAAAAAUCCAAUGGAAAAAAA